UCACUGUCCACACUGCUUGACCCGAGAUUUAAAUGCAUUGGUUUCUGCAGUCAAGACAAAGCACAAUAUGCAGUGCGACGACUGACUUCUGAAUGUGCAGCGCUGAUGAGGCACACACUGGACACACCUACAAAUCCAUCUAUACCAGCUCCACUUCAACCAGCAGCACCAAAUGUACAAAAUCCAUCCUCCACAGCUUUUAACCUUUGGAAAAGCCUUGAUGAACAAGCAACUAUGGCAAGAACCCAGAGGAAUUCCACAGUAGAUGCUACUGUAGAGGUCCAGCGAUACAUGACAGACCUUCCUUUGUAAAGAUCUAAAGAUCCUCUGACCUACUGGAACAAACACAAAAUAUCUAUCCACAUUUGUUUAGGCUAGCAAAGCAAUACUUAUGCAUACCGGCCUCAUCAGUGCCAUGUGAACGUGUGUUUUCGAAAGCUGGAGAAAUUGUCAGCAAAAAAAGAAACAGACUCAGUCCAAAAACAGUGGAAAAAAUAAUGUUUCUAAAUAAAAAUCUUUAAGUCUC